rnacentral:lncRNA from 1 species
UAUAAAAAUUUAUCCUUUCUCAAGGUUGAAAAUUUUGGUAUUAGUAUAAUUUUUAGAGACAUUAACAACAUCAAAUGACAUAAUACUAAUUACUUAAGUACUUAACAUUUUAUUCCUUAACAUAGAAAGACAAAAAAACGCACUCAAAAGUUCAUACAAGUUAUUGCACUACAAAACAAGGGUCUCCUCCUUUACAUAGGUCACCAUUUUUAUUUCAUUACAUGCCUGCUUAAAACUAGAAAAUUUCACAUUAGUCCAUAAACACGAGACUAUGUGAUUAUUAUUGCCUUUUAACUCUUUAUUCAGAUGCACGCUGCCUCUGUCGAGACACGAAGUAAGACUCUUGUGGGUUGUUGUUGAAUAUCUCAUCCACCAACCUCGAUGACACCCCAAAGGCCAACUCCUUGGCUUGGCUAUCCCAUUGUCUCACAUGGUUGAUUUUCCCAGCCACGAAGAUCCUCUGGUUAUGGUCUGGGUUAAUGUUCUGGUUGUAAAGACCGAACCCAGUCAUCCUCAGGUUCUGGUUUUGGGAUGCAACGAAUGUAACUGGAAAGUUUGCUGGGACUACAAAUAUGUCUCCACGCGACAACCGGGACCUUAUUUUCCUGUAUUGUCCACUUCUCCUUUCCUCUUCUUGUUCUUGUUCUUGUUCUUCUUCUUGUUCUUCUUCUUCUUCAUAUGAGCUUUGCCUAGGAAGAUGAGGAGAAACCAUUUCAGCGUAUCCAUUUCCUUCGGUAACAAGGAUCACGAAUGUAGCCUUUGAAUUGUAGUGCGGCACAAAGAUUGAUCCCUACAAAAAAAGGAUUUGAUUUUGGUUAGUAUAAUGAUGGAAAUUAGAGGGAAAAUAAAGGGUGGUUUGGUUUUAAGUACUUGGUUUAAUUGCAAGGCUGAAACGGUGACAUUGAUGUCCCUGAGUUGCCGGAAUUCACGUGGGCAAGCCUCGAAGAAGCGGCCGUUUUGGUUGGAGUAGCGAGGGGUUUGGCUCAAUAAGUUGAAGGCGAAUCUCUCGCCACUUUUCUCCCUUGGUGAAGUGGCUUCUUGGCUCAAUGCCCUUAUUUGUUCCUGGCUGGCUUUACGGAACAUUCCCUGUCCCUGCUGCCUUCGACGGCUUUGCCUCCCACCAAACAGCUCGUCUAGCUGCUCACUUCGUGUCUAAUACAACACAACAUGAAUGAAUCAAUGAAUAAUCAAGUUUUAUUAAAAAAAAGUUGAUUAAUUAGUUCAAAGAGCAAUACAUUGAAGGCAGGCUCAAGAAUUUCACGACUAAAGGCUCGGAGAUAUGACUGAGGGCGUUGGCUUCCAGCUGGGAAGAAUUCCUGCAGCAAAAAUAUAAGUAAAUAUCUAUAUAAUCAAAACCAAACAAAUUUGUAAAUGUUUUAAAAAUGUAGGAACCUCGAAUUGUCCAGGGUUAUUAACAGGGCGGUGAAGCACUGCUAUGAUUAGCUUUUCCUUGUUGUCUUGGUUAGCCAAGUACACAGUGCUUCCUGCUGGGACGCUGACUACAACUCCCGGUACUAUAUUGUAGGACUCUUUGUUUUCAUGUGUCAAGAACGUAAGCGUUCCUCUUCCUGUGAAAGUAAACAGUUUACCAUGUUUUAGUUAAUGGUGUUAUAUUAUAUAUGCUGAUAAAGGGAAGAGGAAAUAGAAGAAUGUUCACCGUUGGUGACAAGGUAAAUUUUCUCAGCGUCACAAUGGUGUGGGAGAACGAAAGUGUUGGGGUUUGCUUCUAAGAUAGAUAAGCGGAACUCAUUGAUGCCCCUAAGAAUAGGAUGCCUUGAAGCAAACCUUUGGAGGACCCUGAAAUUGCCAUGUUCUUCCCUGAAUCGAGAUUGGAAUGAUCUGCGAUGGAAGUGGAAAGGAUUAUGGCUUUGUUCUUGCUCUCCUUCUUCAGUUUCCUCCUCUUCUGCUUCUUCUUCUCUCUCUCCCCUCCAUGGAUUCUCCUGGUACUUUUCCCUGCAUUCCCUCACACAUUGUUGCUUCUUUUCCGGCCUUUGUUCUUGCUGGUGGCAAUGUUGCUGACACUCCUGGAAUUGCCUCUGGGAUUGUUGUUGUUCUUGCUCGAAUCGUUUCAAGCACCUUUGUUGGCAUUGUGGUUGUUGCCUUUCUUCUUGUUGUCGGCAUUCUUGCUUACACUCCUCGUAUCUCCUCUGGGGAUCUUCAGGGCGGUGGCGCUGCUGUUGAUCUUUCUCCCCAUACUGACUUUUACAACUUUCUUCACACUGCUGUUGCUCCUUUUGUCCACGUGUAUCCCAUUCGCAUCUCCUCCGGCAGUCCUCGUACCUCUUGGAAGGAUCAUCGUCGCCUCUUCUGCCGGGAAAGUCUUUGGCAGAACAAAGCAAGCCAAAGGAAAGGAAAAGAGAAAAGAGCAGAACUACGCAAGCUGACUUAUUCCUCACCAUGAUUACGAUAGCUCUGUAUUUUGUUACUGUGUGAUGGUAAUAGCAAAGAGUGGUAAUGUAUUUAUAGAAGGUGGAGCUGUGGAAGCUGAUAUUUUUGCAUGCAAAUCUUCAUCAACGUGUUGAAGACAUUGACAUGCAAGGUGACGAGUGUGCAAAUUAAAGAAGACGAAAUAUUGUCUUUCUUUUUUUAUAGUGGGGGGUAGAUAUCGAGAUGCCACAUCCCUUCACGUGGUACUAGCAAGGUUCGGACAAACUUUGCUGCAGGGGGGUUCAUGGUUGUAUCUGUAACUGGAAGGGGCGAAAUGAUGAUGCUUUAACAGCAGAAAGAUGAUGGACCGUGUUGUGUUGUACGUGGACUGAGUUGAAUUCAAAGAGUGUUGAAACUGGGAAGGGUUUUAAAGUGAGAUAGAGAUGUCCCGAUUCACUGAGUUAAGGUUUGAGUUGAUAGAGGACAACUCAAGUGUACACAUGUUGCUGUGCAUGGUGAUGAUCUAUGAGUUGCGGGAGAUAUGAACAAAUUCAGAUAUGUAUAUUUUUGGUAUCCUGUACGUUUGAUGCUCAGACAAAUUAGUCCUUUCAAAGUUUGAGGUAUUUUUAUUCGUUUUCAAUAACAUUAUCUAAGUAUUACAUAUAAUAUCAUUAUACAAAUUUAUAAUAACAAUGGAAAAUAAAAUGUUUCACUAAAAACACUUCAAAGUAAGGAUUUGGAUUCAAUAUAGAUGAUAGGAUAUAAGUUAUACAGUCCAAGCUAACAUAAGGUGCCACAUGUUAAGAAAUAUGGUAAUUUAUUUUUUCAUAAAUUUUGAAUUAAUUAUACUUAUUCAUUAAUAAUUUUAUAUAAUCCUAACAAUAUUAUACUAUGUUAGUUUAUUAAAAACAAACAAGUAGGCUAGGGGCUAGGGACAUGACUCUUUAAUUUUAUGACUAUUUUUUUAAAAAAAAUCUUAAAAUUUAGGGUUAAUAAAAACAAAGUAACCUAUAUUUAUUUGGUAUUUAAAAUAUUUUUUAAACUUAAUUAAUACUUAAACUUGUAAAUCAAUUUGAUAUUUUCUUUGAAUAUUUGACUAAUAUCAUUAAAAUUCGUUGACAUAAUACUGACGACCAAUAACAUAGCAACAUGUGUCAACAUCACAUUUUGACACGCGGUAAAAAUAAUAAAAAUUUUAGAAAUUUUUAUACAUCUCAUUUUAGACAUACUUUUUUAGUAUUUUUUUAUAUAUUUUAGCUUUUUUAUAACAUAUUAGAUUUUUUAUAUUUUUAUUAUUAUUUUGACAUGUAAAAUAUACAAAUCUAAAAAAUAAAUAAAUAAAUAUAUAUAUAUAUAAACAAACAUCUAGUACAUAUUUCCUCUUCGAUGCUUCUUGUAACGACCUAAAAAGUGCAGGCAUUGGAAAGUGAAUUAUCGGGCCUCCAUUUUAGUGAAACAAGUUUGUAAAUAAUUAUUAAAAAUAUUUAUAGAAUUAAUUAUAAGACCAAUUGGAUUUUAGUUAAGUGAAUUUAGUUGAAUUAAAGUUAAUUGAGUAUUAGGACUAAAUUGAAUUAAGUGUGAAAGUUAAUUAUAGAAUAGUGAAAGGAGAAAGGACUAAACUAAUAAUUAAAUCAUAAAAAGUGACAAAUGUGUGGUAAUUAUAAAUAUAUGUGUAAUAAAUAUAUGUAUACAUUUGUAAUUAAUAUAUGUAUGUACUUAUUAAGUAAAAGAUAUUUAUAUAUUAUAUUAUUAUAAUAUAAAGUAAAGAAAUAAAAGAAAUAAAAGAAAAAGAGAAUAGAAACAUAAUAGCAAAACGAAACAGAGAAGAAAAGAAGAAAAAGAAAGAAAGAAAAGGGAAAAGUAAGGUUUUGAGGUUCCAAGCUCAAUUGCUAAUAUCGUGCAAGAGUCAUUGUCCGAGAAAGGAAAGGAGAAGGUGAAUAAGGAGUGACUCGAGAAAAUUACGGUUAGUAUUACCAUAAUUCGAAUUUAAUUAUUAAUUGUUAAAAUUUAAAUUAAUAUACAUGAUAAGCAAAUUGAGGUAAGUAUCAUGAUUGAAUUAAAUGAAAAAUAUGUAUUGGUAUUGAAUUUAUUAAUAGUAAUUGUUGAAUUUUGAAUAAUAUGUUUAGUAAAUAAAAAUAAGGUAAAUAUCGAUAUUGAAUUAAAUGAUAUUUAAUUGCAUGUGAAUUGAAUGGAAAUUACUAGUGAUAUGAUUUGAAUUAAAAGAAUUAAUGUGGUAUUGAAAUGCAUAUUGGAUUGAAAGAUUGAUUUAAAUUGUGAACAUGAGAAAUUGUGAAUUGAAUGAAAUUAAAAUGAAGUAUGAAUAUAUAUAUAUAUAUAUAUACAUAUAUAUGAGCAUUUGAUGGUAUACUGAUUGGAAAGUGAAAAAUGUAUUGAAUUAAAUUGUGAUUAAAUUGGAAUGAUUUGAAUUGAAAGUAUGAGAAAGUGAUUGAAUUGAAAUGUGAUUCGGAAACCCUAUUAACUAGUCGGGAUGAGUCGGAUAUAGUUGGCAUGCCAUAGGAUUGGAAGAGUUCAAGGAUACUUCGACCUAGAGUCAAUGAGACAUUGGGUGUCAUUAUAUUUCUUCGGAUAGUUUUGAUGAGGUACUGGGUACCAAUUUUCUUCGGCUCUGCCGAUGAGACACUGGGUGUCACUUUAUUGCUUCGAACUAUCCGAUGAAGCACUGGGUGCCAUUCUGGUGUGUUUGGUUUGAUCCGUGUAUCCUCCAAUGUCCGAGUCUUGUUAAUAGGGGUAAAUAAUUGGAAUGAGAAAAAUUGAAUAAGUGUGAUUGAUUGAGCUAUGGAAAGAAAUGAGAAAGUGAAAUUGUGAAUUAGAAAUCGAGAUAUGAGAUUUGAAGAUAUGAACCCAAAGUUCAUGAUUUGAUUAAGAGUAAAUUUUUGUUAUAUGAUAUUAGUGAGUACAAAUUGCAAUAGAAUUGAUACUGAAUAUAGUGAUAAAUUGAAUGAAUUGCAUAUGAACUUAAAUGAACUAUUGGAAUGAGAUGUGAAAAAUCCAAUAAAAUUGAGAUAGUGAAAUAAGGUAUGAAUACAAUUAAAUACAAGAUUGAAAUAUUACUUUUUGUUAUUAAUGAUCAAGUUGAUUUAAAGUAUGAGAUAAUUAAUGAAUAAUUGUAGACAUAAAUUAAAUGUAUAUAAUUUAUCAAUUAAUAUUAUUAAUUUGAAUUAUGGUAAUACCACUGAGUAUACCCAUACUCAGUGUACGGUUGUUUCCGUGCGCAGGUUAAUAGAAAGUCAGUAUCUGGUCUAGCAUCCAAAGCAAUCCCGAUGUAACACCCCGACCCGUGUCCGUCGCCGGAUUAGAGUUACGAGGCAUUACUAAACAAAGCACACAUCCGAACAAUUUACAAGUACACAUAAACAAGUCUCUUAAAUCAAUCAAAUUUUAAAUCAUAAAGCUAACAUAAACUCUUUAUGAAUUAUUCCAUAUUUUAAAACGAACAUAUAUAUAGUCACAUAAAUCAUAAAAGAAAAUAUCAAAUAAAUCAAAAAUCACUUUUUCAUAAUCGGCAUAUCAUGCGUUUACAUUCAAUAACUUACAUUGACUGAAUGUAAUAUACUUAUCAUUAUAAUUCUACAUACAACUUAGUCAUUAAAAUUCAAAUAACAAAACCAAUUUACUUAAAACACAUAUACCCUUCUAGUUUUAUUAUAACACAAGUCACUAUUCAAAUGGUCAAACCCAAAUACAAAAGCUGGAAAUAAACUUGCUAAUUCAUAUGUUUUAGUAAAUAUCUAUUUUCAUUCAACUAAAUUACAUCGCACGCAAUUGAUAUUGCAUAGUACCGAACUAAAAUAUAUUGUUCCAUAAUUAGCAAUUUAUAACAAACUCAUCGCUAAUAUAUAUAUAACAUGUCCGUAUGUAAGUAGGCUUAAUACACUAAUCAUAACUAGUUCAUUAUGUACAUAUUAAACACUUAUUCACCUAUUACAAGCUUGUGCAUGUGUGUACUCCAAAUGGGUCAUUUCCGAACAUCCAUAUUUCAUUAUCACUACAAAAUUAAUUAAGACAUAUUCGGCCAUUAUAACACUCAAACUAUAGCAUAUUUAUGUUUUCUUAACACAUACUUAUCAAUAUAAAUACGAACCCCCAAAACUAAAUCUUAUAAUCACUUACAUUUUCAAAUCAAACAUAAUUUAAAUACACCACAUGUAUAUACAAUAUUUCUAAAUACCUAAUUAUCACAUAACAUAAUCUUAAUUCAACUAACAUCCAAUAUUAAUCUUAUUGCCGAAACACAUAACUAAAUAUCACCUUUUUAUUCAACUCAUAUCACAAGACUUUAAUAUCUAACAUAAACCAAAUUUAUCACAUACAUGUAACUUGAAUAUCUCAUUCAAAUGCAAGCUCAAAUCAUGAUCAAAUGUAGUCAAAUUCAAGCAUAAAAAUUAAAGACAUCAAGCACCCAUUCAAAAACACAUAAAACCCAAUUUAAACAAAAUGAUCAUGAAUAAGCCAUUUUUAAACCAAACCGAACACAAGCAUGGAAAUUAAACCAUUUUCGCAUGGCUAUUUAUAUAUUAAUGAUCCAAAACUAACCAAAAACAUAAUCAAGCUUAGAGGUGCUCAUGGGUCGGGCCGGGUUCGGGCUGGGCCCAAAAAAUUUUCGGCCCGGGCCCGGCCCGAAAUAUGGGCCUAGAAUUUUGCCCAGGCCCGACCCGAAAAAAUUCAUAAGCCCGGGCCUGGCCCGGCCCGGCCCGUUUUUUUAAAUAAAUACCAAAAAUUUAUUUUAAAAAUUAAAAAAGUAUUUUAAAAAUAUUUUAAAAUUAAAAAAAUUUAAAAAAGUAUUUAAAAAAAUUUAAAUUUUAAAAAAUUUAAAAAAAGUAUUUUAAAAGCAUUUUAAAAUUAAAAAAAUAAAAAAAAUAUUUAUUAUAUUCUGGCCGGGCCAAAAAAGUGGUGCCCGAGGCCCGGCCCGUUUUUUAAUCGGACCUCAUUUUUUUGCCCAAGCCCAUAUUUCGGGCCUAUAUUUUUACCCAAACCCUCCCAUAUUUCGGGCGGGCCGUCGGGCCGGGCCGCCCGGCCCAUGAGCACCUCUAAUCAAGCCUAUACAUGCCAUAAGAUAAAGUUCAAACUUUAACAAAAUACCAAAAGAAGUCGAUAGUGUGAUAGACUAUGCUGAUUAGAGGUGCUCAUGGGCCAGGCCGGGCCGGGUUCGGGCCGGGCCCAUAAAAAUUUUGGCCCGGCCCGAAAUAUGGGCCUGAAAUUUUGCCCAGGCCCGGCCCGGGAAAAAAAUCAUAAGCCUAAAAAAUAUUUUAAAAUUAAAAAAUUUUAAAAAUAUUUUAAAAUUAAAAAUAAUAAAAAAUAUAUUUUAAAAAUAUUUUAAAAUUAAAAAAAUAAAUAUAUUUAUUAUAUCGGGCCAAAAAAGUGGUGCCCGAGGCCCGGCCCGUUUAGAAAAUAGGCCUCGUUUUUUUGCCCAAGCCCAUAUUUCGGGCCUAUAUUUUUACCCAAACCCUCCCAUAUUUUGAGCGGGCUGCCCGGCCCGGCCGCCCGGCCCAUGAGCACCUCUAAUGCUGAUGAUCCCCGAGCUCGUAACGUGACUCCAAAAUCUAUAAAACAAAGGUAAACAAAAACACACAAAGUAAGCUAUAAAAGCUUAGUAAGUCAUAAGCAAAAAUUCAUAUAUAUAUACUAAUACUUAUUCCAUCAUUAAGUUAAAAUAAACCAAAUAUUCUAAUAUUUUGUACCAUAUAACACUUUAAUAAAAAUCACAUUGUAUUUUCAUAUAAACAAACCAUAUGGCCAGAUACACAUAAAUAUUUAACAAAGCCAAAUUUUCAACAAAUCAUUAUGCCAAAACAUGCUUAUAUUCAAAUGGUUAACUCAUACUCUAUAUUUCAUUUGAAACUAUUAUCAAUUUAAAAUAAUCAACUUACCUUAACACUAAUUAAGCAAAUGGCUAACACAUACCUAAAUAAUUUAGCUUUCUUAACACAUUUAUUUGCUUUUACUAUUGCUCACAUAAGAUUUAUAGAACAUAGAACCUUGUAUAAAACACCGACAUAUAGUCUNNNNNNNNNNNNNNNNNNNNNNNNNNNNNNNNNNNNNNNNNNNNNNNNNNNNNNNNNNNNNNNNNNNNNNNNNNNNNNNNNNNNNNNNNNNNNNNNNNNNUUCUAGGCAUAAAGCCUGAUGUAAUUCACCGACAUCAAGCCUGCUAGGCAUUAAGCCUGAAAAUCUCAAAUACAAGGAUGAUCUUAUGUAUAAUUCUUUAUGUUUACAUAAGUUUUACUCACUAACCGUAUCUUCGUAAGAAUUGAAUUAUAUUCAAUUAUUCAUAGCAAACAAACAUUCGAACCACAUAUGUAUAAUUUACAACAUUAAAAUUCAGCUCAAAGAAUUUGUAACCUAUAUUCGAACCACAUAUGUAUGUAAAAUUCAUACAUUAAAUUCAGCUCAAGAACUUUAAAUAUAUAUAUUCGAACCAUAUGUGCAUAUAUAUAUAUAUAANNNNNNNNNNNNNNNNNNNNNNNNNNNNNNNNNNNNNNNNNNNNNNNNNNNNNNNNNNNNNNNNNNNNNNNNNNNNNNNNNNNNNNNNNNNNNNNNNNNNNNNNNNNNNNNNNNNNNNNNNNNNNNNNNNNNNNNNNNNNNNNNNNNUGAACUUAAAGCAUACUUUAGCUAAUAUACAUGUAAUCUAUACCAUUAAUAUCAACCUCCAAAAUCAAUUUCUAUGUUCGGCUAUCACAUAGAAAAAUCACUAAGUUUUAUUCAAUUUAUAUACUUUUAGUUCCAGCUUACUAAAUGUAUGAUAGAUAUAUUUAUAUAAAUUUCAAAUUUAUAACAUUUAAAUUGCUAUUAGACUUACCUCGGAUAGUGAAAAAUUGAAAUCGGAUAAUUAGUCGACGAUUUUGGUUUUUUCCUGAUCUAGCUCCGAUUUCUUUGGUUUUUGAUCUAAACAUAUUCAAAAUGAGCUAGUUUAAAUAUUAUUAACUUCAAUUUAAUCCAAAAACACAUAAAUGGAAAAUUACAAAUUUGCCUCUAACAUUUUACAUUUUUCACAAUUUAGUCCGAAUUACACAAAACACAAAAUAUUCAAAUUUUGACUAUACUAUGGUUAGGCUGAAACUUCAUUAUACUCAUACAAGUCCAUGCAUUUUAUUUAUUUCGUAUUUUAGUCCCUCAAAAAUUUAUUUUCACAAUUUAGCCCUAAAUACUCAAAUUCAUCAAAAAUCCCAAGACAAAACAUGUAAAUCUAACACAUAUAUUUCAAUUUCAUCAACUAACAUCAUAAAACUCAAACAUCCAUCAAUGGCACAUUUCAAAAUCAUCAUCAAUUCACAAAAUUGAAGCAUGGGUUUUGAAGAACACAAAACAACGAUAUCAAAAACGUAAAAAUUAUCAAAAACCGAACAAAGAACUAACCUUAAUCAAAAUUCAAAAUGGCCGAACCCUUAGCUUGUUCUUUCCUUUUUCUUUUCUUUUACAUUCGGUNNNNNNNNNNNNNNNNNNNNNNNNNNNNNNNNNNNNNNNNNNNNNNNNNNNNNNNNNNNNNNNNNNNNNNNNNNNNNNNNNNNNNNNNNNNNNNNNNNNNAAAAAAAUGAUAAUGGCUUUUUAACUUAUGUUUGUUUUUAUUAUAAUAACUUUAUAAUAUAUUAUUUAUUAUUAUAACCUUUAUAAUUAUUAUAAAAACUAUAUAAUAUAUACAUAGUGCCGUCCAUUCAUUAAUUCAAUGGUAAAAUUGCAAAAUGAAACCUUCAUAUUAGAAGAACAACGACUAUUUGGCCCUUCUAAAAAUAACCACUAAAUUUUUAUUUUACGCGAUUAAGCCCUAUUCUCAAAUUAAGCAUUCAAACAAUAAAAUUAAUUUACGAAACUUUCACACAUAUAAAUUCACACAUAAUAAACACAGAAAAAAAUAUUAAAAUAUUUUUCAGACUCUAAUGUGUGGUCCCGAAACCACUGUUCCGAUUUGGGUCAAAAUCGGGCUGUUACACCCGACCUCAGAGAAAUUUUAGUGAUGUACCUUUCUUGUGAUAAUGGGGCAUGUACCUAAGUGAUGUAUAGGUUAAGUAUAAAAGUAUUGUGAUUAUGGUUUUACAACUAUGUUAAAAUUUGUUACAAGUAUGGAAUGGAACUAAUAUGACAUAUUUGAUACAAAUAUGCUAUGCCUGCUAUUUAUUUGUGAACUAGUUAUAGGUUAUCUGAUAUAUUCGGUAAUACUCCGUAACCCUGUUCCGACGACGGUUUAGGGUUAGGGGGUGUUACACUUCUGGUGCAAUAUAAUAUGGGCUACCAAUAAUGUCCUUGAAAUACAUCAGCUAUUCCAAAGGCACGGAGUUAAAAAAAUAAAAAUAAAAAUAAAAAUCAACCCGACCACGAAAAUUUUAAUGAACGGAGAUUAUUAUAUUUGCACCUGGCUUAUAAAAGAGUGACACACCCAAAUUCGUAGCCUUGAAUGGUGAAUUUUCGUCUUUGUAAUAGAAUGGCAAGUAUGGAUGAUUUGGACCAUGGUUCUAAGCAAAGAAGCGGCCGCACGUUGUUAUCAUUUUUAAAAAUGAUUUUUUUGAAAAAAUUUUAAUUUUUGAAAAUGUUAAAAUUAGAAUUAAAUUGAUAAAUUUUGUAAAUGAUGAGAGUUAAAUUUAUUAAUUUUUUAGAAUUCAAACUAAAUUGACUAAUUUUGUAAACAUUAAGAGCUAAAUUUAUUGAAAUUUUUAUAUUUAGGAUCAAACUGAUAGAAUGUGUAACUAUCAGAGGAUUAAAUUUGUUAUUAGACUAAUAAAAAAAACCCAUGCCAGCUUCCCGUACUCAUCUUAGGGCAACUAAAAGUAGAGUGAUUAAAAUAUUGAUUUUGAAAAAUUUAAUGACUAAAUUGAAAAUCUAAUGAAAGGUAUAGUUGGGUGACAUUUUUGUAGUUUACCCAAAUAAUAAUAUAUUUUAUACCAACAUCAAUGCAAAUUAAAAUCGGGUAAUUUGGACUUGUGAAACAAAUGGGCCGAUCCAAUGUGGACUCUCAAGGCUUUAUUAAAAAUCACUUCAACCCAUUACAUUUGAGGCCCAAUGCACCCUAAAUUCAAUAUAAUUCACCAAUAAUGUCUUGGCAUUUAAAAAUAUCAUGGAGGCCCUUGUACUAAGUGUUAAAUUGUAUUUUGCCCCCUCUACUUAAAAAAUAGACAAAUUAGUCCCUGUACAUUAGAUCAAGGAGCAAAUUGGUCAUUUCUGUUAAAAAUUUCAUCCAUUUCUACUAUUAACAAUUGACAUGACUGACAGAAUAACCAAAUAGUGAUACGUGUCAUGCCACAUGUAUUUUAUGCCAACGAAUAGGGAACAAUUUUUAACAAUAGAAAUAGAUGAAAUUUUUAAUAGAAUGACCAAUUUACUCUUUGAUCCAAUAUACAGGGACUAGUUUGCUCAUUUUUUUAGUAGAGGGGGUAAAAUAAAAUCCAACUCCUAGUAUAAGAGCCUCCAUGGUACUUUUAACCGUGAAAAAACAAAUUACAUAAUUUAUGUUACUAAAUGAUUUUAAUAUAAAAGUUAUCGUACCAUUGUCGAGAGGUAUUAUGGGCUGAGUCAAAUCUAUGUAUGGUAUUAGCACAAUUUAUUUUCAUUAAAUUCGGCUCAGCUCAAAAUAUAAGUCACAAAAUUUUCUCAUUCCUACCGAUAUCGGUAAAUAACUAACUGAAAAGCUUGUUUUAAGCUCAUUAUAUUAUAUUUUCAAUUUUUACAAAAAAAUAUUAUUUUUAAUUCAAUAUUUAACAAUUUAGCAUUUUUAUUAAAAUUUUAAACUAGAUAAUUUGCAUGUUGUUUAUUUUUUACAUUAUAAUAUUAUAUAUUAUUAUAUAUUUAUUUUUUUUCAAAUUCAAGUUUAAUAUUACAUCAUUUUCUUAGUUAUAUGGCUAUCAAGUAAAUUUUUUUAAUUCAAAAUGUUACACCAACAAAGUUAAUAAAAAAAACUUUAAACAAGGUUAACAAUUGAAUCUUAAUUUUGAAAUCUGUAAAAUUAAGGGACUAAAUUCCUAAAAAUAUAAGUAUAAGAAAUAAAUUCUAAAUUUACAAAAAUACAAAAACUUAACAUAUUUUAACCAUUUUAUAUUAAUGUAAUUGGUUGGUCCUCAAUAGAGGUGCUCAUGGGCCGGGCCGGGCCUAUAUGGGCCUAAAAUUUGCCCAGGCCCGGACCGGGAAAAAAUCAUAAGCCCGGGCCCGGCCCAUUUUUUAAUAAAUACCAAAAAUUUAUUUUAAAAAUUUAAAAAAGUAUUUUAAAAAUAUUUUAAAAUUAAAAAAAUUUUAAAAAGUAUUUUAAAAAUAUUUUAAAAUUAAAAAAUUUUUAAAAAAUAUAUAUUUAUUAUAUCGGGCCGGGCCGGGCCGGAGCCAAAAAGUGAUGCCCGAAGCCCGGCCCGUUUUCUAAACGGGCUUCAUUUUUUGUCCAAGCCCAUAUUUCGGGCCUAUAUUUUUACCCAAACCCUCCCAUAUUUCGGGCGAGCCAUCGGGCCGGGCCGAGCCGCCCGGCCCAUGAGCACCUCUAGUCCUCAGUCCUCACCUCUAUGCUAUACAAGUCUUUAAAUAAGUUAGUCAAUUAACUUCAGUUCAGUAAUUACAAAAAAGAAAAAAAAAACAAAUGAAAAAUAAUUAUAGAAUUUUAUAUAUAAAAAAAAAAAGUGAACUGCUUUUUGUACAUUAUUAAUAAUAAUAAUAAUAAUAAUAAUUCUGUUAAAAUAUAAUUUUCAAACUCUUUUUGCACUUAGUGCAACCUAUUUUUAUGUAAUAUAAUUCAUAUUUGAUUCCUUUUUACAUGUAUAAUAUAUACUAUAUAUAUAGAUAUAGAUGAUUCUUUCUUUUAAUAAUUUUUUUUCUCUUCACGUAAGAACCCUACAACCCAAUUUCAGUAAGAACAAAAAACAAUAAAAUCCUAGCAAAUCCUAACACUUCAAUGGCCUCAAGACGUUCAAAGGUUAUUCGUUCAUCGAGCCAAGGCGAAAUAGGUCUGUUUAAUCAGAUAAUGCCAAUAGACUCUCCAACUCCAAUAUCGAAUCGGCUGACACCGGCCCAUUCAGCUGUAAGAAGAGCACCGAACACGGUUCCGAUGCAGCAGCCAAGAACGGCGGUUCCGAAAAAACAGCAGCUGCCAAAGAAGACAAUAUUUAUGUUGGGGUCACCCGAAAGAAUAAGAGAGAUGAAAAAGGACGAAGGGUUCGGGAUCUUUUUUCAGAAUUGUUCCUUGUGCAAGAAGAAACUCAAACCGGAUAAAGACAUUUAUAUAUAUGGGUACGUUAGACACGAUUUUUUACCAUGAGUGUUGGAUAUUCGGGUUUAUUAGUUUAUAUUUACAGUAUAAAGUGAAUCAUUGUUUGAUGAUUGCAGUUACCUAGGCGCAUUCUGCUCCGUUGAUUGCCGAGAUGAUCGAAUAGCUUUGGACGGUAUCGACAAUGAAGUUGUUCCCAAAUUACCAAUAAACAUGAGACCCUCAAAGAGAUUUUGAACCACAAAUUUGACAUUUUCCUGAUAUGUAUCGGAUACAAAUAUUCAGUUUUUUUAAAAGCUAUCAUCGUAUCGAAAUUCUAAUUCGUGCCGAAUAGAUUUGAAAUAAAAAAAAGGGUGUCCUUAGAGAGGAUUAAGCAACAAGCAUUGUCUGCUACAGCUGAAUAUUACAGAGGGAAUGUAAGAGCUAUUCAUUGGUAUGGUCUCCAUUGCAAGAGACAAAGGAACAUGCUUUUGCCAGCCAAUGCCCACUAACAAAAAAGGGUUACUUUCAGAUUAUAUAACCAAAAGAAUCUUACCAUAUAACUUGGUCUGACCCCAUUGUUGAUAAUUAUUUAUUAAACUUCCUUUUAAAACCUUGGAUUAAUAUAUAUAGAGAAAGAAUAAUAGGUUCAGAAGGAAAAAAAGAAGCCUUAAAAUCAUGAGUUUGCCAAUGUAAUUUGUCAGGUAUAUGAACUGUCAUGUUCUUUCUUUCUUUUUUUUGUUUCUUUCAUUAUAUCAGUUGCAGGUUCUGAUACUUUUACACCGAAAAGUUCAUCACAGUCUAAUUAGAAGACAUGUUGGUUUUAGGUAUUUGAUUCUUUUAUACAAGAAAACAGUUGGUACUGUUAGAUUGUUUCAGUUCAACAUUCUGAAGAAUCUGAACAAACAAUUAUUAUAGAAUAUUGCAGGUUGUAACACCUUUUUUUAAGGACAAGAAAAUAACAAUGAGGGCUCCGUUUUAGGGCUUUUUUAUUGUGGUAUUUACUGUUUUUAAUACAAGUAAUUAACAAGGAGGGAAAGAUGGUGAGAAAGAGUGUAGGACAUGGAGAAGGAGAAGGUUGUUGUGUAGGGCUUUCAGGGAAAAAGGAGCCAACCUUUUAGUCUCUCGUGCAUUUAGGCUUAUAUAGGAGGUCAUCUUUUAUCAUUUAUGAUUAGUGUCACAUAAUCGAUAAUAUGGUGUCCGGUAAAGUUGUGCAUGUUAAUUAGAUGAUAAUGCAAUUACAAUUCAAUUGUCAUCAUAAAGUGUAUUGAGUGAUUUUGCUUUUAUAUAUUCGUUUUUGGGGGUUUUACAAGGUUAUUAUGGCUUCAUGGUCUUCAUGGGAUGCAUAACAAGCUGCCUUUUGGAUAAGAUAAUCAAGAGUUCAUCCGUGGAUUGUCUUACAUAAAAGGUUACUACGGACAAUUCCUUAUGAAGAGUUGCGCACAAAUAACAAAAAAUUGUCUGAAGAUAACCCAUGUCUUGUCACGUGUCAUGUUGAAAUGAGUAUAUAAAUGUGACAAAACAAAAAACCACACUAUCCUAAAAUCAGUCCCGUUGUUAGCUUGGCCAAAAAGUAAUAGAAUUAAUGCCAUUUUAAUGAACAAACAGUGGCCAGAAUCUGGUGAAUUUGCUUGGAAUUAAUAAUUAGCCGACCAGAAGGCAACUCCUUCAGUUUUAAAGUGACUAUUCACUGAUAAGGUUUCUCCCUUUGAUAGCUUUCAAGUGAACAUAUAUACCUUUCUUUUUCUGCAAUUCUUUUUCUUGGUCCCUUCUUUGACCGUAUUUGGAAUGGAAUGCACAUGCAUUUUACAUACACCAUUUGCCCCCCUACCCCCUUUUUUCAUCUUAAAUACUCAUUAUACUCGGAUUUCGGUAUUAACCCGAAUAUGAACAUAAGUCCAACAUCGAUAUAUUAAACUUUUUUUCAAAUUUUUUUGGUUGCUUAUUUGUGAGAUUUAAGACCUGCAAUAAUGGUGUACUAAAAAUGACCUAUAAUAUAAAAGUGAUUGGAAUAUUCCCCACUUUUUCUUUUUGGUAGAAAAGCCCCCACUCUUGUUUUUUACUUUCUCUACAUUCCAGACAGGUAAGAACAAACUAAUAAUAUGGUCAAUCAACAUAUAUAUACAUAUAUACUCAUGGCUUCCAUAUAAACCUGCCAAGCCUGCAAAUCUGUCUGCUGCUUUUUUCUGGUUUCAUACACCACAGCAAUAUGCCAAAAAAGUAAAAGUAUAAAAAGAAUGAUGGUGCUAUCAGAUUAUCAAUGAAACCAACUUUUCUCAGUAAAAUCAUUAGCAAAAGCAGCAUGGAGAAGAAACAAAGCAUAUUCUGAUUCUAUUUUUUUCACUUUUGUUUUUUCUCUUUACAUUUAAUUCUUCUAUCACUUUGGUAAGUAUCCAUAAAACCCUUUACUUCUCUUUGCAUUUAAAACAAAAAGUUAACAAACAUAUAAUGAUUAUAUAUUUGACCAUACUUUCAUCUUUUCUUUAGUUCAUCAAAAGAAUAUUUCCCCUAAAACUAAACAAAUCAUGAAUAAAACAAUCUUCAAGUACCCUCUCUCAACUUCUUUUCCUGCAAAACCAAAAAAAGGGUUACAUCAUUAUCGUAUAAGGAAGCUAAUUUUUGGCUUUCUAAGUACGAAGAAGUAGUCAGCAGUACCUGUGGAGAACUAUCGGAGCUUGUUUCGAGAUGGAUUAGAAGUGGACUUUUUUGUUAAUCAGUUGCAUUGAGAUUGGAAUGUUGUAAGCUGACAUCAUGUUAUGAUUGAGUUGGAAUUCAAGUUAGUUAAGUUUACACCUGAUCAACAAACAUGAAAACAAGAUUAGUCGAAGAAAUUAAGAAAUAGUAAACCAAAAAGGGAAAGAAGAAAGAAGAGAGAACCAACCUUUUUUUGGUUAGUGAGCAAAGGAAUGUCUCUAUCACCCUCAAAAAUGGAUCUCCUCAAAGUGAAUUUUACCUGCACAUGGGACCAACGUUAUCAAACACUUCAAAGCUGGUUUUUCAUGUAGAUUGUCGUUAUCUAUUGUCAAGUGGCCAUGAUUCAGUUUCUAGGAAGAUAUGUUGAAGGCAAUCUUUUCCAUGUUUAAAAGCUAUGGGAGUAAAGGAUUAAAGUCCAAGGACCACAAUCACAAAGGAGUCUUGAGUAUGGAUACUUGUUUUAUUUCAGACAAAUCUGAUGCACUAGAUGGAAAAAGGAAAAGCACUAGAUUUACCUGAUUGAUUCAGAAGACAAAUUAUUGCUGAUGGGUAGAAGCACAUUGAAAUUCUUGCCAAUUGAUAUUUAAGCUCCUGGUUUAAACAAUAGGAAUCACUUAAGUAAUGGUUAAAAAAAACAAAUAUUUGCAAAUAUAAAUAGGCAUUCACGUGUGUGUGUGUGUAUAGAGAGAGAGGAUACAUUGAAUGCAGGUCGUAACCUCCUUUAGAAAAAAUUUAGCUCGGUGUAUCCAUGCGCAUACGGCAAAAGCUCCUCUACCUCAAUCCUCCUCGAACUAGAAUAACUCAUGCUCUUCUUAAGUUGACCACGGCUUGACUCAACCUCAGCCCAAAAUAUACCAUAAACCGGUCUGUGAUCUGAGAACUUAGAUUCCCCACGGACAUAAGAUAAUUGAUGAAUACCUUCUCCGUACCACAGUAUCCGGUCACACCUUCAUACAAAAAAAGUUCAAGUCAGUACACUUCUUCAGAGCUAUAGUUUUAACUACUUUAUCGUGCCAUACGGCGGAGGCAGUUUCUUACCAAGCUGGAGUUCGACAUUUCUCCUUUGGGUGCAUAGCAUCCCCUGUAUACCUAUCUGAAUUAGUUGAAUACUUGUAUGUUGGUGGGAAGUAAAUCUUUCCUUCAUGCCAUCCCUUAAAAACGCGCCCUCUUUUUUGCUCUAUCCUUAGCUGCCAAAUUAUCAUCAAUGAAAGGUUUUCUUAUUAAAUUUGACAGUAGAAUUUGUUGUACGUUAUUCAGGGCCUGUGAAGAUAUGGAGAAGUAAAAGCAUACCUGGUCAUUUUCUAACAAUGCUCUCCAGUUCUGCAUUUCAACAAGUGCCUUGGCAGACCGGUAAGAGAGAGCAAUACGAUAAUUCAAAUCCCCGAGCCAAAUUAUUCGACUGGAUUAAUAUAUAAUUAGUCAGUAUAUGCAAAAAAAAUAAAAAAUAAAAAAGCAUAUGAGAACAUAAACAUUGGUAUUUUUAGCAUAUGAACCAAGUCCUUACUCAUGCUCGAGGAUUGUUUCAGGGGACUUCUCAUUAGCUUCACUAUGAACCCGUGGAAACCUCGUCUUCUUAAGAAUCUCCAUAACAUCCGAGUUUCUCCUUAGCUCAUCACCCUCCUUUUGUCCCGAAGUUAAAUGAGUGCAAAUGAAGCAAAAGCUUGUUUGAUGUACCAACAUACUGACAGAUAUAGAACCCUGGCAAACCAAGACAUAUAGGUUAAACAGAAGUGCUUCUUAUUCUCAAGCAUAAGAUAAGUAAAUUAGAUACGGUCAAGUAAUACCUUAUUUCCAAGAUAACCCAUCAAUCCUCUGCCAACACAAGAUACUUUCAUGUUUUUAACAUGAUCUCUCAACUCGCUUCUCACCCAAAUUGUGAUAAAUAUACCAACCAUUUGCUUACUAGCCACUAAGCAGUACCUUGAAUGUCCAGGCAUCCUAUAUCCCGGUUCAUUCGAUGCAGAUCCACCAUAGGACAUUGGCGAGUGCAAUACAGUACUUGGUGAUUCUGUGAUUCCAUUAUCAUCAUCUGAUGAACCCCAUCUGGAGUAAUCACUAGGUCUAGAGUAAUCGCUAGGCCGGGAGUAAUCACUGGGCCUAUUACCCCAUCUAUAACUAGAAUCAUAGUCACUUGGCCUAUGACCAAAUAUUACCCUAUCACAAACACUGAACCGCCUGUCAAGUCGUGGUUGUGGAAUCGAGGGAUCAUUGUCCAUUCUCCAACUGCUGGUUGUCUGGAACGAUCUGCGGUGAAAGAAAGACGGAUUCUUCUGCCUAGAUGACCCUUCAAAAUCAGCAUCCAUCUCCACAAUAGGCUGAGGAACAGGAGAUGGUGUAUAGCAACCCCCACCUCCACUUGUUCCGGGAAGAUUGUUAAGAGUCUUCCUAAUGAGAGACAACCAUUUUUUGGCCGGACCAUUGUCUUCUGCGCCCAAAAUAUUCCCAGCAUUCAAAGGAACUAUCUCUUGAAACCUGUAAGAAAUCAAAGAGGAAACAAAUUAUUCUAUGAACAAUUCAAAGUUUGGUAAACAAGACAUGAAGAUCAAAACCGUCAAAACAUACCCAAGGACAUAUAUAUCUGCAGGAGAUGAUGCAUGAAGCAAAUCUUCUAGAUUCAAAUUACUCGGUGGCGAUCUUCCGGCCACAUUCCAUGUAGAUGCAAAAAUGCUGCUCCAAAGGACAAUAGAAGAACAGUUGGUACUCAUGCAUCACAAAAAAAACAUAUAAUUUUUUUAGGAAAAACAUACCUAUAAUUUUCGACAUCUAUGAUUCGAGGGUGAUCAAGAUUCAUUCUCCCUCUCCGGCUCCGACUUUGCUCCGUAUUCCUACUAAAUUUUUCUACAAAUCAUAGCAGCAUUUAGACAAUUAAUAGAAAAACAACAAAAUAGUCCCCAAAAAAAUUAGUGAAAUAAGAUUAGGAACCUGUUUUACUCUUUUUGAUUGUGCAUGGCUCCCUUUCUGAGAAGCUAGUCCUGUAUUCCACUUCACCUCCUGAAGAUUUAAAAACAAAAAAAACAAAGUUAUAUAUACAUGUUAUGAACCAGAACAGGAACUGUACCAACCAAAAAGAAUAAAAAUUGAAGUUACAAUGGAAUCAUUUUUAGGAUGCCUUGUCUGUUUUGAUGGGAAAUUGCAUGAAAAAGAGUACUUAAAAAUAGAAUCCAGGAAAAGAUAAAGCCUUGAAAUAACCAAGUAAUCCAUUCUAAAUAAGUUAGCUUGGUCUGAACAGAUAAGAGGAAGAAUAUUCCCUUUCUUUUUUUGACAUGAAAGCUUGAGAUCCUAGCUAUUUUUUUUAUGAAUACCAAGCAAUCACUGUGAAAAUUAACGCUCCUCAAAGUACUCACCUCCUCCACAAACAUGAUCAUCUGCUUGAAAAUCCUCAGUUUUGCUCUUGAUAUUGAACCAUUUUCUGACCAUCUUUUUGGACCAUGAGAGCUACACAAAAUGAAGGAAAUUUUAGUCAGUUAAAAACCUUCAAUUUUUUUUGUUCUUUCACAAAUUUGAGAAUUGAAAACCAGAAAGAGAGAAAGAGGAAGAAAGAAAAGAAAAGAAAAACCUUGCUUUUCUUGGCUUUCCCAUCUCUCAUUGUUGGACUUUUGCUUCAUACACCUCCAAAUUUACUCUUUUUUACUAUUCCCGAAACUCUCAACUUUGCUAACAAUCACCAAGAAAAAAAAACACUGUUGCUACUUACUACAACCCCAUAUAGGCAGCAAACUCCACCGAUCCUUCCCCGAUUUCAGGCCUUUUUUAACUUAGAUUAAAAACAAGCUGAAUUAUUUGAUCCCAGAUAAUCUUCAACUAAGAAAACAAAUGUCCCAAGUCCCCUACCUUCACCUUCCUCAAAAUCAAAGGCUAAAGCUAAAGCAAAGAGAGCUAAACAAGAAAUGGGUUUGCCUUAGUUUCUUGUUCCCAGUAAGUGAAAGCAAAGAAACAAGCUCAAAAAACCCAGAAAACAUGAAGCUCCAACGAAUAAUAUAAAAGAAAAAGAGAGAGAUAGAGACAACACUUUAAUGCUAGGAAAUAAUAUGAAGAGAAGGGAGAUUCUUGAAGCUAUAACAAGACAAUGUGGGCAAACAUAAAGAGAAAGCAAGGGGAAGAAAGUCUAGAGAGAGAAAGCUCGUAAGACAAACACAAGCAAAGGCAAAGGCAAAGCAGCCCCUUCUGUCUCUCUCUCUUCCUUCUCUUUACUUUGUUAGAAAAAUAAAGAGAGCAGCAGCACACCUCGUUAUCAGUAAAAAAGCAAAGUAAUGAAAUUUUGAAUGGAAUAAAGUGCAAAAUAAAUAUAGAGAGAAACUCUGUCACACUAUCUCUUGUUUAUGUUUGCUUUUUUUUUUUUAUGGAUUUUUCUUUUAAGAGAUUUAAAAAUUUAUAGAGAGGCUUUUUUAGUUCCAUCUAAUGUUACAGGCUAUUUCAACAUGAAUGAAGCAAAGAGGUAAUGUCGUUUUGUACCAUGUACUGUUAAAACGACAAGGGUUUAUGGUCAGCAAAGUGUUUGAAGGGGGGUUUCAAAUUUAAGCUGUCUUUGAAUCACUUUGGGCUAAUAUACUAUUUCCUAUGUGAGUUUAGGUUUAUUAUUCGAUUUGAUAUCCAGGUCAAAUAAUAUUACUUGAUCUGAUAAAUAUUUAACCAAAAAUACUUAAUUAAAAUUAAAAAUAAAAUUCAAGUAUAAAUUAAAUAUUGAAACUAAGUUUAAGUGCUUAAUUUUGGAAAAAGAAUGAAGUAUCAAAUUAAAGAAUUUUCAAUUACCAUUUUAAAUGUUGAAGCCAGAUAUUAAAGAGAAGGAGAUAGGACUGUUAUGGAGCGAGGCUUUUUUAAAUUACAAAAAUUAUGUGGAAAUCUCAUCAAAUAUCGAGUUGAGAUUAAAAAAUAUUUACAUGAUUGUAUUUAAAUGAUAGAAAUAAAACGGAGACAAGCAUAUAGGUAUUGCAUGUAGAUAUGCAUACACGAUUUCGAUUUUGUAGGAAUAUAGCUUACGAGGACAGGAAGCAAGUAUCACUUUUUGCUCCGAGGGAAGCCCUUAUUCACGCUAAGAAAAGCGGUUGGGUAGUGAGAAUGAUCGGGAAAAACAGGAAGCUUCUAAACCAAACGAUAGACACUAAGGCAGAAAGAGUAAACUGGAGAUAUAGGCCAUUGGUGGAGGACAUCAAGAGGCUGGGAAACGUAUGCUAUGAGGAAGAAGGAUUGGAAAUGACAACGCAGAUCAAUGAGGAAAAUUCAAGAUGCUCAACAUUUGCCUCUAAUUCCCAUACUAAUGUUGUUUUAAAUAAUAACUUUAUUAUGAAUAAUAGCCUAUGAAACAUGUCUUGAUAUCAAAAAAAUUAAACUCUCGAAGUCAUUUAUUGGUCUUUCAUCCAAGUAAAAAAAGCAAUUAAAGAAGGGUCAUCUGUCUUUGUGUCUGUAGAAAACUAGAAAUUUUGAGGUUUUUCAAGAUUCCCCGGAAAAUAUUUUCUCUGGGUUAAUUCCAUUAAAAUCUUCAUAUUAGUCUUUCAACUUCAAAUCACUCUAAUUAAAUCCUUAAAAGAAUCUGUAUAUAUCAACCAGAAUCUUCAACCAAUUUAAUUUUAAUUUAGACAUUAAACAUAAAUACAUGGAUCAAACUGUAAACAUAUUUAUAAUUUAGUUCACGUCUUAAAUAUAUCUCUCCUAAAAAUUGAAUGGACUAAUUAUCAGAAUAGUCCGAUAUGGUACUGAUUGAUAUGAUAAAGACUAAAUUAAAAUCCGGGCCAUAGAAUAUUUGGUUGUUAACCGAUCUAACUAUUUUCAUUAAAUACAGGGUUUAAUGGCCUUGUAAUCGAAGGCAAAUGCCCCAGUCUUUAAGGUGUCACUGUUAUUUAUUCUUCAUCACUCACUCACCUACUACUUUUUUUUUUUUUAUCGAAACACCUACUACUUAAAUAGAAGCUACUUUCAAUAGGACCACAUUUUUGGAUUUAUCUAAUCUGGGCUUUUUUUUUCUAUUAAAUUUCAGCCACUUAUGAGAGCCGAAUGAGGAGCCUCUAGGGAAAAAAGCAAGCUUAAUUCUAAAUUUCUUUAAUGGUAGAGUGGAGGAGAUUUCUAAAGUCUCCGCCGUCUAGGGCGGCUCCUCGGGCCAUAAACAAUCCUUGAUUAUACAAACUCCAAUUUUCUCUUUAUAUUUUUAUAUAAAAAAAUGCAGUCAAACAUGUGCUUCAUUUAAGAUUUUAAAGCUAUGUAUAUAUAUACAUAUAGUUUGCUAUUUUGACUAGUCUUGGCAAAGACUGCAUUUUAGAAUAUGGUUCACGGGCUUUUUUCUUUAUUGAGCCGACUGCUGAAGAACAUUCCAUAUGUUGGGAUUAGGGUUAUAAAUUGUGAAUUCUUUUAUUUUUAUUUGUUUAUUGAAUUUAAAUUUUUAUUACGUUAUUAUUAUAAAUAUAGAGGUGGAAUAUUUUUCUUGUUUUCUAAAGGUAUUUACAAGAAUGAGCUCAGUAACUAAUCUUCGAUUUUGUAAGCUCAUUAAGGAGAUAGAUGUUGAUCACAAGAUUUAAAACUAUUUUAUACCCAGAGCGAAGAUCGAACCUUCGAUUAUUUGUUAAAGUAGGAAAAAUCUUUAUUAUUUCACCUAAUUCCCGUGAUAUAUAGAGAUAAAAUAUUAAACCAAUAACGUGAUGGGUUUAUUAAUAUAGUCAAGUUUGCAAUUAUGAAAAACCAAUAAUGUUUUUGUAUAAUCACAAAACUAAAUUCAAACAUGGUGAUGAAAAUACCAAACAAACUAUUUUUUUGGUCAACCAAAAUGGAUUAAAGUUUUUAGCUCAAAUAGCAAUGAAUCAACAUAGAACGAUAGGAAAUGCUUGCACCCAAUUUUUUUUCAAAGCAUGAAAUGAUGAGUGGACUUCCAUCUGUUCCAACAACGUUUCAUUUAAUCGGUGGCAUAAAAUAAAAUUAUUUGACUCCAUGAAAUGGAUUGGGACGUGAUUUCAGAUUUUAUGAUUAGAUAUUUUAAAAAUAAUUAUAAUUCGAUAUUAAUAUUUUUAAUUCCACAAAUAAAAAUAAGAAGUUGUCACAUAUUUUUCUUAAAUAAUAAUUUUGUGUUCGUUUUAUGAUUUAUGUUGGAUAUUUUUAAUUGUUUAAUUCUAUUUAUAGAAUUAAAAAAACUUUAAAAAUUUAAUAUUAUAUUAAAUUUCUGAAAUGUUCUGUCGUAUUUUAAUGUGGGUCUCGUUGGGAAUCAUUUGAAGCAAUAAGAAGAAAAAGCAAAAACUUGAAUAAUACAAAGCAACAUGUAAAAAGUGAUUGCUUGUAUUAAAGACCAAAUGAAAAAAAAAGAAGAAAGGGGCCAUAUUUGUGGUAUUUGGAUAUCUAAAGAUCAAAAGGAAUGACCCUACUUUGGGAAAUCCCUGUUUUUUGCAUUCACAACUUGUACUUCAAUUUACAUAAAUUUUUAUAUUAUUUUUGAACCAUUUUAUUAUAGGUUUUAAUUUUAUUUUCUUUUUUUUUUUGACACGAUACUUAGAAUUAUUUAUAGUUUCUCCUCAACAUUUAAAUAUGAGGAUUAUCCGUUUCAGUGCACUUGAACCAACGUCUUCCUGUACUAACAACAACGUCUAUGCCAAUCGAGCUAAGACUCAAUCCACAACGUUUUUAAAUAAAUUAGUUAAAGGUGUAAUACGUGUCUAGGUAGAUUAUAGUAAAAUAAAUUAAAUAGAUAAAUGUUACAUAAUUAGUAGGGGUUUUGGUUUUCCUAAAAUUAAGAAAAUUGCUUAUACAAUUCCUUUAAUUUCUAAAAAAAUCAUAAAUUAGUAAAAUGAUAAAAUCAUAUUUUCACCUUUCAAAAUUUUGUAUUCGUUUUUAAACCCUAGAACAAUUUAUUGGCUUUACCCUUUCCACUAUAUAUAUAUAUAUAUAUAUAUAUAUAUAUAUAUANNNNNNNNNNNNNNNNNNNNNNNNNNNNNNNNNNNNNNNNNNNNNNNNNNNNNNNNNNNNNNNNNNNNNNNNNNNNNNNNNNNNNNNNNNNNNNNNNNNNUGUAAAAUUUAUUCUACUAAUUUCAUACGCAUAUAUGCUUAAUUUCCAUCCCUAGAACUUGCCCUUGAUAAAUUUGUUUUAUGGUGCAGUCCUAGUCUAAAUUCAAUUCAUUUGAUAUUUAAAAAUAUUUAAAUAAAUUAUUGAACAAUUUUUUUUUUGACUUACGGCAUAUUUGCUCAAAUUAGUUUAUUUUAUUAGUAGUAAUAAAAUUUUAUUGGUUUCUCAAAAAAUAAUAUUUUUUUCGUAAGAAUAUACAUAUUAUAUAAUAAUCAAUGUCACCUCACAAUAAAAGAGAAUCUUUCAUCCAUAAAAUCAUGAAUUGCAGAUAACACCUAAACCAUAUAAAAUCAUUUGGACAACAAAAAUCUGUUUAUCAAUAAAAAAUUCUCAGAAUUUCAAUUAUAAAAAUAUCAAAUCUAACAUACGAAUCUAAAACUUCAAAAAAAUAAUUUUAUAAACAUAUAUCCAAAGUAUGACUUUCAUGUAAAUAAGGUAUUUGAGAAGGAAAAAUGAAGAACAUAAAGGGUUAAAAAAACAAUAAAGAAUGGGGAAGAAGAUUUUGUAUGCUUUAUGCUUUUUGUAUUUUGGUGGGUGAAUCUUAAGUUAAAGCCUUAAAGGCUAAAAUUAUUAUGAUUUACGAGGCAGUCAAAAGAGGGUUAGUAGUCGUUUUCUCUUUGAGUUUUUUUUUUUUUAAUUUAAAUUUAUUAUUGGUGCUUUUUUUUUUAAAUCUUUUUCUUUACCAAUGUUUCUAUCUAUUUUUGUUCUUUAAGGUAUGGGUUUACGGCUCAUAAUAUGUCACUUUCUUUGGCAUGUGUCAUGGCUACAUGCAUGAUUAUAAAUAUGAUAUAAAAUAUAGUUGAAUGUAAUGAUAAGAUACAUUACAUCUUUAAGGGGAGGACCUAGAUUCAAAUCUUGAAGAUGAUAUUGUUGAGAGGAGCAGUUAUGAACCCCGAAUAUGAAUCGUAAAAUAGACAUAAAAAAUAAAAAAAAACCAAUAAAUUGAUGAUUAAAGUGUAAUGACUCUAUAUUGCUAAGACUGAGAAUGUAAAUUCGAAUUUUUUUAAUUUUUAAAAACUUUGAAUCAUAAUUAGUCUCAAACUUAAUAUUUUAAAAAGAAUCGAAUGAAAAUGAAUUUGUUAUAACAAACAAUUUAUUUGGCUUAAUGGUAUUGUCUUUGAUGAAAAACAAAAACACUAGAAAAUUAAAAUUCGAAUAUUAAAAUAUUUAUACACAAUAUUCUAUUAAAAUAAUUAAAAGUAUCUACUUCGAUGUCAUUUAUAAUACUUUUGAUUGAGCUAGGAGAAGAAGAGACAUCGAUUUAAUUAUGGAAAAAUAAAAACAACCCUUUUUAAAAAUAAAAUAAUAAAAUGAAUAGGAUUUUUUUUAUGUAUUUUGCUAUUUUUCUCUUAAAAAACAAAUUAAAUAUAAUUACUCGUUAUCUCCUUUUCUCAAUAAUUAUCACAUUAAAUUCUUUGUAUUGUCCUAAAAACCUACCCAUUUAUUUUUUGAAUUUUUUAAAUAGUCCAUCAAAUUUUGAUUCGGUUGGAUUCUAUUUUCGGGUUUUAUUAAUUUUUUAUUUUGCAUUUUAGUCUCAUGUUGAUAAGAUGAAUCUUAUUUUAGGGAUUUUGAAUGUUAUUAAAUAAAAUUUUAAAGUUUUAUUUUCAUAAAUAUUUCUAAUAACUUUCAAGAUUUUUUAAGUUAUUUUAAAUAAUUAAAUUAAUUAUAAAUUAAAUAAAAGUAUAAUUCAAUUCAGUUUCUAAUAAUCGUGAUUUUUUAACUCAUAUUCCAUGUCGAUUUAGCUCUGACGAAUAGAAUGGGUAUCAAUAUAUCUAGUUAAUAAUAAAUGCAUGUUGAGUUUGAUUUUCAUUCAAGUAAAAUCAUUUUCUUUAUUUACCCACUCUCUUUAUUAUUUUUAAUUUUCCUUAUUUAAUUAAAAUUUUAUGAAUUUGGGUAGAUUAUGCAUCCAUGAGACCAGAGCUAGCUCUGGAAUCUUGAAAUGAAUUGAUUAAAGUGAUGAAUAUUUUGAUAUGGAUUGACUUUAAUAUACAAUGAGAGUAUAUGUAUAUAUGGAUGACGCAACUAGAAAAAUGGGUCAGGAGAAACACACACCACUUGCUCAUCAAACAGUCUUUUUCAACCUCAUGUCCCUCUCUACCCAACUCUACUUCCCAUUUAUUUUUUUCCUUUAAUCAGAUUUCCAUGGAUUCUACUGUCUUACAUAUUUUGACUAUAAACUAUAAUUCCUUUUAUAUUAUUAUAAGCAUAUAUUUCCUUGACUUUUUUUUCCUAUAGAAUAUUCUUUAACCUUAAUCCUACGUGAAGUUAAUCAUUUAUUCCAUGACUUUUUCAUUUCGUCGGGGAUUGGACAAAUAUUAGACUCUCCCAAAGGGGACAUGUAGUUAUUUUUUACAAAAAAUAAAUUCCGACAAUAAAUGAUCAAACAAUCCAAUUUAAUUAUUAUUUUAAGAAAAUUGUUUCACGUUUUAUAUUAUUUUUAUUUCUUAUACAAAUCCUACUUUUAUUUAUUAGUAUUAUUUUUUUUCCAACUAUUGAAUCGAAAGCAUGUUAGAAUUCCCAUUUUCCUUAUUAUGACAACACCACCAAUUGAACUAAAAGCUCGAUUAUGUUAUAUUACUUUUACUUAAAUUAAAGAAAAAGUAAUCAAUUAAUUCUUUCUUUGAUUAUAAGCUUAGUAUAUUAUCCACUUUCAGUAUGUUUUAUUUUAAAUAAUAUAUAAAAUAUGCAUGCAAAAUUAUUAUUUAGUAUAUUGAUGUUAAGGUAUUUUUAAUUUUUUUUGGAGAAGUCAAUAAUUCUCUUAACAUAUUCAGUACUGUUUUUAUGAGAUUUUGUUUUUCGACUCAAAGUGAUAAAUUUAAUAUACCGAAAACAUUUGGUCAAGUCGGACUGUAAAGGACACGUAAGAAAAUGUUAACAUCUGCUUCCACUUUGAAUGGAUGAUACUUCAAACGCCAUUAAAUUGUUUAUAAACUUCACAAAUAGUAUUAAAAUCCGUCAUAUGUCACAGUUAUCGGACCUUCAUCACCAAUGUACCAAAAUAUACAUCACCUAAACAAUGGCCUAGAAGGCCCAUAACUUAAUCUGUGAAAACCCUAAAUUAGUCCAAGUAAUUUAGUCCACAAGUUACAGUCAAAGAUACUAUAAGCCCACAAUACUUUUUGAGGCUAACUUAUAUAACUCUUGUACAUAUUCUUAAACAGAUCCAUAACCGAUGUGGAAUUUCAAUGCAUUGGGCUUAAUCCAUCUGAAAGUUCAUUUUUCCCUCAAAGCCGAACACAACCAGCGAGGCCUCCGGCUCUAGAGUCGGCGGAAACCGCGAACUCAGGAGGAGAGAAACCAGCGAUCCUUCUCUUCUACCGCAUAUUUCCCUGGUCUUCGUAUCUGUCUUAUGAUGUCUAUUUUCUUCGUCUUCUCAUUUCCUUUUGCAACUACAAACAACAAUUCUUAAUAUUCAAAAAUAAAAAAAAUGGCGUCUUUACUUCUUCGUCAACGAAGAGUUUCAGCUUUGGGUGUUUCCCGGAUUCUUCAAGGUUUGACUUUCAACCUUAUUUGUUUGAAAAGAGAAAAGGGAAAAAUUUUCCCACUUUUUGUUAUAGAUUCAUUAUGAACAUGUGAAAUUUGAUUAGAUAGAUGGAAUUCUUGAUUGCCCAUUUCUUAGUUUUUAUUGCAGGAGAUUAGCAAAAUAAAAAUAAAAAUUUCUGGUUCAGUUUUGAUUUACAUUUUUUAAGUUUAAUGUUUCAGCUGUUAAUGGUGAUUCCUUUCGACUACAACCGGAAUCGAAUUGCAGGACAUUUGCUAGAUUUGGUGUAAUAAUAAGGAAUUACAGCAGUGGAAAGGGUACUGCAAAGUUCGAUUUUACUGAUCUCACGUAAGAACUAUAUGACUUACAGCUAUUAAUAGUGAUUUGUUUGGCUUGGAUAGGCAUAGGCAGCCCUUUUUUUGGUUUCGAAUUAUGUUGGUUAAAAAUCUACAAUUUGAGGCUUGUUCCAAUAGCACCAUUUCAUUCUAGUUAUAGGAAUACAAAAUCUUGAAAGACAAUAGACUCUACAAAUAUAAAUGUCUAGAUUUUUAAAUUUGAUUAAUUAUCUGUGUUUUAGUUUCGAAUACUAAUUUUCUGGAUUAUGUAACUAAAGCAUACCUGUUUCCGUUCUCCGAAUUCAAAACUUAUUGGCUAUAAGUUUUUCUUACUACAAGGUAAUAGUCCUUGUUCAAAAUUUCCAUUAAUUGGGAGAUUAUAAAAAAAGAAAGGAAGAUGUUUCUGCUCACUGAAUUUUGUUAUGUAAUUUCUGUAUAUCAUUGGCAUUUUUGUGAAAUUAUUUUUUGUUUAUCUCAGCCGUCCUCAUACAUGGUAUCCUAAUGCUCGAAAAAAGCAACGCAAGGUUUUCUUGCAUGUAGGUCCGACAAAUAGUGGUAAAACAUACCAUGCUCUGAAGCGACUUGAAUCAAGUUCUUCUGGUAUAUUUACAAUGCUACUUUUACCAGGACUGGCUUACUUUUUUUUUUGGUAGUCAGUGAAUGAUUGAACGGGAUUGAAACUAGUAAAAUAAACUGAAAAACUAUUUUCCAUUGGUUCAUUCCCUAUUCAGGUGUAUAUUGUGGUCCUUUAAGAUUGCUGGCAUGGGAAGUGGCAAAACGGUUGAACAAAGCGAGAGUUCCCUGUGAUCUAAUUACAGGACAAGAGAAGGAUGAAGUGGAUGGUGCAAAGCAUAAGGCUGUAACUGUUGAGAUGGCUGAUGUAACAUCUGAUUACGAAUGUGCCGUUAUUGAUGAAAUACAGGUAAGUCCAUAUUUAAAUGAAAGAUUCACAUACAAUAUUUACCAAGUUCACAAGGAACAUUGCUGUUAAUUAUUCUCUCAGUGUGCGUGCAGAUUUGUUAAACAUAAAUUGAAUAGAACGACUUAUACGAUUCUUGUGCAACUUAACAGAAACUGUUUUAAGCUUUUUCCCUUAAUGGCAAGUCACUUAGUUUCCAGUUAAAUUUCUCUUUCCAUGCAGAUGUUGGGCUGUAAGACUAGGGGUUUUUCAUUUACACGUGCCCUGUUGGGAAUUGCUGCUGACGAACUUCAUCUUUGUGGAGAUGCAGCUGCUGUUCCUCUUAUUCAAGAAUUAUUGAAAGUGACUGGUGAUGAUGUCCAGGUAAGCAAUAGUAUGGAAUUGCUGUUCUUCUAUAUAAUGCACUGUUGGAUAAGUAGAAAUAUUGUUUUUUUACCGGUAUUUGGUGUCUAGCGUUACUGACUAGCCAGAAGAAUAACUUUCUUGUUGCGGCCAUGCUCGUGACCCACUUUUGAUAUAUCUGUUCUAUAUUGUCGGUAUUUUGCAUCACAUGGUUUUCUAAAAUCCCAGGUCCGAUCUUAUGAGAGGCUUCUACCAUUAGUUCCCUUGGAAGUUCCACUUGGUUCUUUUUCAAACAUAAGAACAGGUGAUUGCAUUGUAAGUUUUUCACGCAAGGAGAUAUACAAAUUGAAGGUCAGUAGUGCUUGCUUUAUUUUCUCUUGGCUAACUACUGAUAUGUUUCAGUACGUUAAAACAUUAGUUUUUCUUCUUACUAUUUUGUGUCAGUGGUGUCUUUCAUAGAAAAGAAAUUGAAUAUGCUUUCUGAUUUCGCCAUCUUUCAUAGAAAAAAAUUGAAACUGGGGGAAAGCAUCUUUGCUCCGUGGUUUAUGGCUCAUUGCCACCAGAGACUCGGACAAGACAGGUAUUGUCUCUUUCUGGCUUUAAUUGAUCACCAAGUAUGUGUGUGUGACUGAUGGUAAUUAUAUUCUCAUUGUUGCUCAUUUAUUUAUUUAUAUUUGUUUAUUAUUAAUACGGCCUUUAGGAUUGCAGGCAACGAUGUUUAAUGAUGCAAGCAGUGAGUUUGAUGUUCUUGUGGCCAGUGAUGCAAUUGGGAUGGGUCUUAAUCUGAACAUUUCUAGGAUAAUUUUUUCAACAAUGAAAAAGUUUGAUGGUCUGGAAAUGCGGGAUCUUACAGUACCAGAGGUCAAGCAAAUUGCAGGUUCCCAUUUCAUUUUUAGCUGUACUUUGAAAUUUUAUUUCUAUAUGAACAAUGAACUUUUUUGGUCAAUUUUCCGUCUUAAGACAUUCGCUAAGGGUGGUAGAAAAAUAUAACAAGAAUCUGCUUGCUCGAGUUGUCAACUGCCAAUUUUCUUAUUCCAUGGGGGCAGACCCUGUAAAGUUGAUAAAUUUUCAUUAGACGGCUUUAUAUUCUUGUAGGGAGAAGUGGUAGGUACGGUUCAAAGUAUCCCAUGGGUGAAGUAACCUGUUUAGAUGCAGAAGAUCUACCUUUGCUUCAUUCAUCGUUGAAAUCCGCCUCUCCUACUUUACAGGUGAUUGUUUUAUCACUAACUUUCCUAAGAAUACCGCCUUGAUCUGACGUUCCAUUUUCAAUGGACCUGAAUAAGCUGCUUUUAUAUUUAUUUGCAUAUUGGUUCAGCAUUUUUUGUAUCUUGACUCUGUCAUUUUUACGACACAGCAAGCUGGAGUAUUUCCAUCCUUUGAUUUCAUUUAUAUGUAUUCACGUUUACAACAGAAAAGAGGUCUCUAUCAGAUAUUGGUAGGUUAUCUUAUGAUAUUAUUCCGUCUAUCUCCUUCCUCUCGUUUUUCCUUUUUUAGUGACAGCUAAAAUGAACCCAUUGAGGGUUAAAAAUAAUUCGAACCCCACUGCCCUGUUUUUGAUUGUUGCAGGAAGAUUUUCUCGAGAAUGCAAAACUAUCCGAUAACUAUUUCUUCGCUAACUGUGAAGAAAUGUUGGUAAGUUUAUUCAGUCAUGUUCCCUUUUACAAAUCAAAAUUUCUUGUCAGAUAACAAUAUCUCUGGUUAUGGAUAUUUAGCUUUUACAAUAUGAAUCAAUGAGUGAUAAAAGGCUGUUUAUUGUCAUCAGAAAGUUGCUGCUGUAAUCGAUGAACUGCCUCUAAGCUUGCAAGAUAAGUACCUUUUCUGCCUCAGGUAACAUCUUUCAAUCUUGCUCCCUCCAACAACCCGAACUUUGUUAUUUGAGUUUGUCUGCUAGUUUUACCAAUGCAGUUUCGAGUUUGCUUAUUAUUAUUAUUAUUAUUUAUGAACUUGCUUGGAAUCAACUGGCUAACACAGGUAAAUCUUUGUGCAGUCCAGUUGACAUGAAUGAUGAAAUUUCAUCUCAGGGUCUAACACAGGUAAAUAUUUGUAUACAGUCUUGAUUAUCUUGAAUAUGGAAACUAACGGCUUUCUAUUCUAUCGUUGUGGAUCAGUUUGCCGAAAAUUAUGCAAAGAAAGGCCUCGUUCGUCUUAAAGAAAUAUUCUCACCUGGUUCACUUCAGGUGCCUAAAACGCAUUCUGCUCUCAAGGAGCUUGAAUCCAUUCACAAGGUAUGAGUUUGUUUUUCUCAUGCGUUGUGUGUAAGCUUCGGUUGAGUUUUUCAUUUGGAUGAAUCGUUUCCAACUUUAUUGUUGUUUGCUCCAUCUGAAGGUGUUGGAACUCUAUGUUUGGUUGAGUUUUCGUUUGGACGAAUCGUUUCCAGACCACGAGUUGGCUUCAUCACAAAAGGCCAUCUGCAGUAUGUGAGUACCCUUUGCCAUACUUAAAUCACUUGCUUUGCUUUCCAUUGUUAACCUUACUAGUAAUGUUUUGGAUUUGUAGGUUAAUUGAGGAAUUCCUUGAAAGGCUUGGUUUCCAAAACCCAACAUCAAGAAAGUUAAAUUCAUUAAUGGCAAAAAAGAGAAGACAAUACCUCUGAUUAAAUGUAAACUACUAUUACCAUGUAUUUAUCCAUUAACCCCAUCACCCCGUUCGUUCCCACCACAUAUACCUUUCUGUUUGUCAAACGGAUUUGUCAAAUUCGGACUCGAGAUCUCAAAGUUUGAAUCUUGAAGUUUUUCCGACGGAAAUUUCCUGUUUAUUUAUUUUUAGUUAAAUUACACUUGUAAUCGUCUAAUUAUUAGUAACUUUUUUAUUGAUCACUUAUUUAUGAAAGUUAUUAAAUGGUUAUCUAAUUAAAUAUUUAAUUUUACAAUUUUAUUUUUCUUUGUGACUGUUCGCUUAAAAAGCUAAUAAACAUAGUUAUCAACAAAAUUUAAUUGAAGACAUAAAAAAUGAGAACACUAAAAAUCUAAAAUAAUAAAUUUUAUUUGUUUUCAUAUUUUUUUUUUAAAUUAACUUUUACACAUUGAAUAAAUAUUGAGGUUAACUUUUCUUUUUGAAAAAAUUAAAAUUAAAAUUAAAAUAUUUAUAGGUAUUGAGAGUUAAAAUUGCAUAAUAACAAUUUUAAAAAUUGUCGCAUUUAAUCAGGUGAUAAUUAAAAAAAAAAAGCAUAUGGUAACUUUCAAAUAAUUAACAAAUAGAAUUUACUAAUAAUUGAAUUAGUAGGAAUAGCUUUUUUAACUCAAUUCAUUUCAUUAACAAAAUGUAAAAUGGAGUUUCAUGGUAAUGAAAUAUUAACACAAAUCAAAGUAUGAUAGUUACAUAACAAGAUCAAAACCUUUUAAUUUUAGAAUUCAUCUAAGUGCUUCAUGCAACCACUCUUACGAUAUGGUACUUUAUUAGGUCGGAAUUUGGACUGUGAGGCGAGAAUCAUGGACCACGAAGCGAGGUUAAACAUAAGCAAGUUGGCGUUUGGUCGUCCGGUAUCAUCCCUCCUCCUUUGCUUGUAUUAACAGCUUCUAGCAUUCUCACAACCUCCUCCAUUGCAGGGCGUUUCUCCGGAUUCGCAUCCCAACAUUUUUUCAUGAUGUUUGCUAAAGAAUUCGGGCAGCAUCUCGGGAUAUCUGGUCGUAGAUUCUGCCGAUAUACCAUGAAAAAUAGGUUUAAUAUCAUUUAACAAUAUACAUGUAAGCACAUAUAGAAUAGCAAACAAGCAAAAUGACUCCACAUUAUUAACAAUGGUUAGAGCAGCCGGAUACCAAGAUUAGGAUACAAGGAUCUUUUAUGCUUUACUGAUGAAAUAGAAUAACAAGCGAACUAACCUGUCGAACAACAGCAGAUGACACAUCGGCAAAGCUAAGGUCCGGAUAAGGCAUAUCGCAGCAAUAAAUUUCCCACAAGCAAAUGCCAAAGCUGUAGACAUCACAUGUUCUGUUGUAGGGUUUACCUUCAAGAACCUACAUCAUUACAGUUUACAGUUUAGCUUUCUUGUUUUAACAUGGAAAACAGGACCAAGUGUCUAGAAAAAAAAUACGUUCCCUCAAAUCCUCAUGCAAGGCCCGCUUGCAUAUCACAGAGAGAGGGAGGAUUAAUUCUUCAUAAGCCAAGUUUGCAAAUAAAUGAUUAAAGCUUUGAACCACUCAUGCUUUAUCAAUACAUUUAAGAAGGCAUACCUCAGGGGCCAUAUAGCCAAGAGUACCGGUUUCACCUGUCAUGUCUCGUGGAUUCUGAGCUUCAACGCGUGCAACACCAAAAUCUGCAAUUUUAAGGUUUCUAUGACCAUCUAGCAACAUGUUUUCUGUUUUGACAUCACGAUGUACAAUCUUUCUCGAGUGCAGGUAGCUGAGACUGCAAUUUGGAAUAAAAAUAAUAGUCAGCACAAAAAAAAAAAAUCAUUUACAGACUCUCAAAACCAAUGAUAAGAUGCAUCCCCUUACCCUCUGGCGAGGUCCAGAGCAAGUUGGACCACAAUCUUAAAAGCGAGUUUCUUUCGCCUAUUUCUUAUCAAGUAUUGUUUCAGUGUGCCACCAGGGAGAUACUCGACAACAACACAGCAUGCUCUAGAAGGAAGGGGAUUGUGAUUGUCAGCCGAAGGAACUUUCGAAGGAAUCUUAAGGUUUGAAGUUCCCAUUGAGGCCCCUAUAAACUGUAACUCAAAAUUAAGGAGAAAAAACAUAGGUUACAACAGAAUUUUUUCAAAAAAGACGAGGAACUCUAACAUUUUAACCUUUACCAAGUUGAGAAUAGCUUAAUUAUGCAAAGAGAUUGCAUAAAAUUUUCAGUUAGAAGGCCAAGAUUACAUUAAGCUUUCCGGUGUUAUGAUGAUUUUCAACAAAUAAACAUUUCAAGGCAGAAAAAAAAAGUUUGGACCUUUGUAACAUUAGGAUGAUCAAGCUUGUGCCAAACAGCAACCUCUUGCCGAAAUGAUGCUCGUAGAGCAGCAGUUUCAGCAGUUGUGGCGAUACCAUCCUCGCCCCAGUCCAGCAGCUUAACUACAAUAUCAAUAUAUAUGACAGCACACUGAGAGCUUGUAAUCAAUAAGAUGUCAGGAGGCUAUUAGUUCUACAAAUAGUCAAUAUUAUAAGAGAGCUGACUAAGACAAUUUCCCCAUAUCCUCCUAUAGAAACCCGAAAGCAUAACUCCUUAGUCCUUACUACACCAAUCCUCGAGGUAACACUAGUCAUGUCCUCUACUAUAUUGUUUUUAAGUUCAGCAAAGGCUAAAAGCCCAGUGAGUGAGAAACUAUCAGCUCCUAUAAAGUCAGUAUUCUAAACCAAACCGUGUUAGUAUUACUAAUCAUGAACAGCAAAGAGAACUCCACUAAAGAUAUAAACAGCUAAAUUAAAUGAAACAAUAUUUAUAUAUAACCAUAUUUAUUUCGAUUGGCAGUUUAGCACACAGAUAUCUUAUAUACCGGAACCGGCUAGCGCUCUACACAAAGGAUAGAGAUGGUCAGACCAAACAGGGACCCUUUAUCACCAUGCCUUAGGCCCUAAUUCAGUUCUACAUAAUGCAUGUUGCUUCAACAUGCAGAAUAAACUACAAAGGGUCUUACCAAUCGAUAUUUUAACUCGAAAAACUAUCAAUACAAAGUUCAAUCACAAUUAACACACACACACACAAUAUAUAUAUAUAGAUUAAGAAUUAACAAAACAUAAUUUUUAAAGCUGCACCAAGCAAACAAGUUACAAAGCUUAAGAACUAACAUAGAUAAUACAAGUAUAUAUAUUUAUAUGGAAUCUGAAAAUUUACCUGCAACAUCUUGAUUAUCAUAAGUGGCACGAUAAACAGUCCCAUAGGUGCCAUGAGCUAUAACAUUCCUUAAAUCCAACUUAGCCAAUUCAAUCUCCCAUUCCUCAGCUGGCCUUUGUUUCUCAAUGUUCCUAGACCAAACUCGGCUCAGGUGCUUCUCCAGCUGCAUGUCUAAGCUUUUUAAAUCAAUUUGAUCAGCUCUAAAGAUCAUGUCUUUGCCACUAAUGCUUCCAUUGCCCUUCAUCUUUGAAUUUCCACCUCCUUCUAGUCCAUCUUGUUUCUUUGGUGCCUUGAUACCUUUAUCUUCCUCACCAGUUUUGAAAUCCAUAGUUAAAAGAAUAUAACAAAAUCACCAAAUAAAAAAACACAAUUAAAGACCCUUAAACUGCAAAACUGAUAAUAACAAUGGAAUUUAAACUCAAAUUAAAAAAUAAGUUGCAAGAUUCCCCAAUUCAGGACAAGAGCAUUAAAUAUCAACCAAGUAUAAAUAUGAUCGGAUAAAAAAAACCCUGUUUCACCAACCCCAAAUCCUAUUAGAACCCUGUAUUCAAAAGUGAACUUAUAACCCAAAUUUUAUGAUUUGCAUUUAAAAAAAAAAAGGAAACUGGAUUUUUGUUUAGACCCGAAUUUAAUGAAACCUGGUAGCUUUAACAAAAAAAAACAAAAUCUUUAAUGUCACCAACUAAUUAAAUAAUUCUAAACAGAAAAGAACAAAAACCCCAAAAAAAAGAAAAACAGAAGAGAAAGUAAACCCUAAGAAAACGACCCAAUCCCCACCAUUACCCGAAAUGAAUGAACCAGAAUUUAAAUUAAAAAAAAUUAAACGAAAAUUUUAACUAAAACCCAAGAAAGAGAAACAGGCAUGCAAAAUAGAGUAAGCAACAUAGAAUAACUUAAAAUUCAGGACGAAAAGGUUGACUUAAAAUUAAAUUCUAUAAGGAAUAACUUGAAGAAAAAGGGAACCAAAAAAAAGAGGGUCGGUGGUGGUGUCGUUAAUUGAAUUGUUUUGAUUAUCAAAAAAAAAAAAAAAAAGGUAAUUGAAAAGAUAAAGGAACCGAGAGAAAUAGUUAAAAAAUUAUAUCUUUUUUUGCGGCUGAAAAAAGGAAUGGGUUUUUUUACGGUAGAGUUUAACGGAAAAGAUAAACAAAAUUGAAGAAUUUAAUUGGAUUUGGAUAAGAAUUACAAGGUAAAUCGCAUUAUUAUAAAAAUAUUAUUAUCCUUUAGUCUUGUUACAUCACACCUUAAAUGUAUCACAUGUUAAAAAAAAUGUUUUUCUAAUAUUAAAUUAUUUACUAUUUAUUAUUUAUUUUUUUCUCUCUUUUCCUUCUCUCCUUCUUAUCACCUAUUUUGAUUUUUAGGGGAAAAUCCCGUAUUUUAAGGCAUAUGACAGUUAUUUUUGUCUGAUUUUGUAAUUUGUAUAUAUACACAUGUACUUUUUGGGCAUUUUUAAGGUAAAUGUUUACCUUUUUACUUCCUUAUGGUGAGUGCUUCAUGGGCAGAUUAAUAAAAAAGAUAAGAGAAGUUCUUGGGGUUUGAUUGUUGAAAACAAAAAAGUUUGAAUUUUUUGAUGUAGAAAUCUCAUGCUGGAUGUGGACUAGUGAAAAACAAACAACAAAUAUGAGAAUCAGGUACUUAUAAGCAACUUUGAAUCAAGACAUUCAAUAUUUUGACACUGGUAUCAACACUGAUAUUGUUAUGGUCAAAGAUGAUGAUAGUGAUAAGGUAUUCUUAAAGUUUUAAUCUUUUUUGGUCUCUAUGAGGUAAAAUUGAACACUUUUUUUAGCCUUAUUUUUUGUUGCAGUUAGGCAAUUUCAUUCAUUACAAGACAACAUUUGUAUCUGGUUGUAUGGUAGGUUUCAUAGCAAUAUGACAUUUAGCUUUGGCUACACUUUUUGUGGUUCCUCUUAUUGCUAAAAUUGGAGCAAUACAUACCAUAAUAUUAGCUAAGCUCUUUGCAAAAACCCAACAAGCUUUAUCACAAGGAGGAAACAUUGUGGAAUGGGUAAAAAAGAUAACUUUUUUUUCAUUGUUUCGAAAUCCGGGUAAUUUUCUAAAUGCAAGUUAAAUUAUAGACAAUGAUUCAAAUUCGGGUUGCUUUGGCUUUUGUCGAUGAAUCAAAAGCCUACUCAUCAACAUUGAAAGUAGCACCAAAGAGUGGUUGUUUUGGCUAGGGUUUGCUGAGAAAGGGAAAUCAGGUGAAAAUGAAGAAGAGAAGGAAGAUAGAGGAAAAAAUAAAAUAAAAUAAAAAUAAGAAAACAGAUAAUGUAAUAUUAAAAAAAGAAAAUAAAUUUUUUAAACAUGUGGCUCAUUUAACGCAUAUUAGAUGUCGUUACCUAAGUAACAACAGAAAACAGUGGAGUGGAGUGACACCUUUGUAAUAACGUGAUAACAUUACUGGCAUUUUUGUAAGUUUGAAAACUUCAAUGGAAAAAAAACAAAAAUUAACUAAUGUUGAGUGACUUUUGGUGUAAUUUACUCUUUAUUUUAUUUAUUUUAGAUAAAAAACUUUUUUAAAUGAAACUUGAAAGAAAGGUGCGGGGUUGUUUCGUUUUUUAUUUUUCUGAAUUACAUCUAAGGUCACUAAAAUAUUAGUAAGUUUACGUUUUGGCCACACAAUUUUAAAAAGUUACAAAAUGGUCACUAAACUAUUCGAAUAUUUUCAUUCAAGUCAUUGAGAUGUUAAGUUUUUUUUUUAAAGUCUGCCUGUCGAGCUCCAAGCGACAAUUCAACUACCGAUACGGAGGAUCAGUACCUAUCAAUGAGUAGAAAAACAUACAUUAAAUCCAAGUCAAUUUGACAGCCAGUGUCGAAGAUCAAAGAAGAAAGCUAUUUAGAUUUUGUUCAGUAGAUUCAUGACGUUCAAGGUUGUUUCACAAAAAAGACUGAAUAGUGGAAAAGAAGGGGAAUGAGAGGUUUCGAUUAGUGCAUGCAGGUGAACUUGCAUAACGGUGAUUUUAAGAUCCUGACGACUUAAAUGAAAAUUUUUGAAUAAUUUAGUGACCAUUUU